UAAAGAAAAAGUGUGGGAUUUCAAGGGAUUAAGCUAAUAAAGGUGGUGAGCCCUCUAACAAGGGUAAAGAGAUUGUGCCCGAAGACCGAGAAUAGGAAUAUAUCAAACUCCUAGUACUGCUCGAGGUAGCCUGUGGAUAGCAGAUAUCGUCAAGGAUUAUAGUCUGCUU